rnacentral:rRNA from 1 species
UAAGCGGAGGAAAAGAAACUAACAAGGAUUCCCCUAGUAACUGCGAGUGAAGCGGGAAAAGCUCAAAUUUAAAAUCUGGCAGUCUAUGGCUGUCCGAGUUGUAAUCUAGAGAAGCGUUAUCCGCGCUGGACCGUGUACAAGUCUCCUGGAAUGGAGCGUCAUAGAGGGUGAGAAUCCCGUCUUUGACACGGACUACCAGGGCUUUGUGAUGCGCUCUCAAAGAGUCGAGUUGUUUGGGAAUGCAGCUCAAAAUGGGUGGUAAAUUCCAUCUAAAGCUAAAUAUUGGCGAGAGACCGAUAGCGAACAAGUACCGUGAGGGAAAGAUGAAAAGAACUUUGGAAAGAGAGUUAAACAGUACGUGAAAUUGCUGAAAGGGAAACGCUUGAAGUCAGUCGCGUUGUCCAGGGAUCAACCUUGCUUUUGCUUGGUGCACUUUCUGGUUGACGGGUCAGCAUCAAUUUUGACUAUUGGAAAAAGAUUAGGGGAAUGUGGCAUCUUUGGAUGUGUUAUAGCCCUUAGUUGCAUACAAUGGUUGGGAUUGAGGAACUCAGCACGCCGCAAGGCCGGGUUUUUAACCACGUACGUGCUUAGGAUGCUGGCAUAAUGGCUUUAAUCGACCCGUCUUGAAACACGGACCAAGGAGUCUAACAUGCCUGCGAGUGUUUGGGGUGGAAAACCCGAGCGCGUAAUGAAAGUGAAAGUUGAGAUCCCUGUCGUGGGGAGCAUCGACGCCCGGACCAGACCUUUUGUGACGGUUCCGCGGUAGAGCAUGUAUGUUGGGACCCGAAAGAUGGUGAACUAUGCCUGAAUAGGGUGAAGCCAGAGGAAACUCUGGUGGAGGCUCGUAGCGAUUCUGACGUGCAAAUCGAUCGUCAAAUUUGGGUAUUAGGGGGCGAAAGACUAAUCGAAC